UACGUAGGGGGCUAGCGUUGUCCGGAAUCAUUGGGCGUAAAGAGCGUGUAGGCGGUCCGGUAAGUCCGCUGUGAAAGUCGGGGGCUCAACCCUCGAAUGCCGGUGGAUACUGUCGGGCUAGAGUCCGGAAGAGGCGAGUGGAAUUCCUGGUGUAGCGGUGAAAUGCGCAGAUAUCAGGAGGAACACCAAUGGCGAAGGCAGCUCUCUGGGACGGUACUGACGCUGAGACGCGAAAGCGUGGGAGCGAACAGG
rnacentral:rRNA from 1 species